ACGAGAGUUGGGUUCAGAACGUCGUGAGACAGUUCGGUCCCUAUCUGUUGUGGGCGGAGGAGAGUUGAGAGGGGCUUUCACUAGUACGAGAGGACUGUGAAGGACGGACCUCUGGUUUGCCGGUUGUCGCGCCAGCGGCAGUGCCGGGUAGCUAUGUCCGGUAGCGAUAAUCGCUGAAAGCAUCUAAGCGAGAAGCGUGCCUCAAGAUAAGCUCUCCCGGGGCGCAAGCCCCCUAAAGACCACUUGUAGACUACGAGUUUGAUAGGCUGGGUGUGAAAGGCCCGUGAGGGUUUUAGCUGACCAGUACUAAUCGGUCGUGCGGUUUAACAUC
rnacentral:rRNA from 1 species